UGGUUUUUGGUUUGUGACGGAUAGUUGGAUGUCUGCUUGCGCAGCAACUUCUAUGCGUUCUUACCUCUUCAAUGUUGUUCCAUGGUAGUUUGCCUUGAACAUAAGUGGGUUCCUGUGUUGCAUACCUAAUUGAUGGCAUUGUGUUGGUUGAAAAAUGUUGCCUUUCGUUAUGUGUUGCUUGCAACGCCAAUGAACCUCGAAGCGGUCUUUAUGGUCCAUCUUGUCGUUGCGGAUGUGUUGAUGGCAUGGCCUUAUGAAGUGUCGCUUGGUCUCUUGGAUAUGGAUCCUUGCGUAGGCAUAUGGUCAUUCAUGAUCAUGUCUUUUGCCUACAAGAGUGUUUUGCUUUUCUAGACGAUUGUCUUUCUUGCUCUGACUUGUUGGUGCAAGGUAGGCUAUGUCGAAGAGGAGUGCUACCUGGU
rnacentral:misc_RNA from 1 species